GCACGCCUCCUCCGUCCCCAUCUUCUUCGCGCUUCUCUUCACCGAAAACCAUAGCUGCUCUGCCUUUUUCUUCCUUUCAUUUAUCCUUCGAGCAGCUCAUCUUCUUCAAUUUGACCGCCCGUCUUCUCCAACAAUUUCCCAUCUUCUGCCGCGCGUCAGCUUCUAUCUGCACACGUCCCCCACCGAGUCAACUAACGGAGCAAGGAGUUGACCCACCAGCUCCAUCUUCGACCGAUUCAGCCCCUCAUCCCCACACGUCUCCGCCGAAGCUGCUCCACUUCCACUUCACGCGUCCUCCACCGAAUCGCGUUCCAGCAGCAAGAAGCCCCAACGUUGACCUCUCUCUCUCCGCCUGAUCAUUCCACCGAAGUGCCCCUGCAGCAGCCGCUUCACCCAUCAAUCCUGCUGCUUCUCCUUCACGAAUCCCUGCCCCAUCGUUGACCGCAAGCCAGCGAAGCCGCACGUCCCCGAGCCAACUUCCAUCGCGUCUUCAGCCCACGGAUCCAGCCCAUUCGAAGUCCUCCAACAGAACGUCUUCAGCCCAGCGAAUUCAGCCCACAAUUCGGCCAAGUUUCAGUCCAGCAGGCCGCACAUCUCGGCCCAUCAAGUGAGCCCAGCAGCCCACCGAAGUCAGCCCAUCUACUCCAGCAUUCCAGCAAGCCCAGCUUGCAACUUCAGCUUUCGGUCCAGCCCAACUCAAGAACAAAUCUCAGCUUGGGCUGAGAUUUGUUGGGCCAUUUUCGGGCCCGGUCCAAGCCCUGUUGGUGCUGCCGCAAGCCCGAGUUUCAGCCGCUAUCGCGCCGUCGUCGCGGUGAACCGGUUUUUGCGUUAAACCGGAUCGUAGAAUGGAGGACUUGGAGUCGAGCUAAGAAGAUCUAAGGUGUGGGUCAGAUAGGACAGUUUCUUUUGAGAGCUGGUCUGUUGAAGUCUUUUGCUUGUAAACUUUUGUACUUGACUCAGUGUAUUAAAAAGCAUGUUUCGUUUGAGAAUUUGUUGUCCUACUUUUCUA